CUGACUACUUGGAGAGGCCGGGGUCUAACAGAAGAGCGCCAUUACUUAGUUGUUUUUCAGCCACAUUACUCCUUCACCCGCCCCGUCGGUAACUGUGGGCGAAACACAGUACCAUCCACCACCCUUAUAUGUGCUGAAGACUUGGUGAUCAAACCGAGGCUAGGGAAAGUUAGCUCGUUUUUUUUCUUCGUAUCAACACAUUUCGUCGUGUCUGCUGUACACCAUUACUAAUGACGUUCAGUAUGUAAAAGUUGCCCGACAUUGCUCAACAUACAAUUCGAAACGGUGAAAGACAAGAUCAACUUAUCGAUAUAGGAUAUGGUAAUUGUACGUUGUGUACUCCAGUGUACAUGCAAGCACUAC